UGCAGUCGAACGAUGAUGCCCAGCUUGCUGGGCGGAUUAGUGGCGAACGGGUGAGUAAUACGUGAGUAACCUGCCCUUGACUCUGGGAUAAGCCUGGGAAACUGGGUCUAAUACUGGAUACUACCUCUUACCGCAUGGUGGGUGGUGGAAAGGGUUUUACUGGUUUUGGAUGGGCUCACGGCCUAUCAGCUUGUUGGUGGGGUAAUGGCUCACCAAGGCGACGACGGGUAGCCGGCCUGAGAGGGUGACCGGCCACACUGGGACUGAGACACGGCCCAGACUCCUACGGGAGGCAGCAGUGGGGAAUAUUGCACAAUGGGCGGAAGCCUGAUGCAGCGACGCCGCGUGAGGGAUGACGGCCUUCGGGUUGUAAACCUCUUUCAGUAGGGAAGAAGCGAGAGUGACGGUACCUGCAGAAGAAGCGCCGGCUAACUACGUGCCAGCAGCCGCGGUAAUACGUAGGGCGCAAGCGUUGUCCGGAAUUAUUGGGCGUAAAGAGCUCGUAGGCGGUUUGUCGCGUCUGCUGUGAAAGCCCGGGGCUCAACCCCGGGUCUGCAGUGGGUACGGGCAGACUAGAGUGCAGUAGGGGAGACUGGAAUUCCUGGUGUAGCGGUGAAAUGCGCAGAUAUCAGGAGGAACACCGAUGGCGAAAGCAGGUCUCUGGGCUGUUACUGA
rnacentral:rRNA from 1 species